AGAGAUGCAAUUAAGCCUAGCAUGAGCAAUAAGAACCACUCAGGCUAGCCAAGGAGACUGCCCAUGAACCAGCUUAAAGGAUCAUUAAAUUGCUAAUCCUUCAGGGAGGACACAGGCAAGUCAUCCUUGGCUAUCAGAGAUAAGUCCUUACUGCCAUCCAUGUAAGGCUGCUUCUCUCUUUUGCUUCAUCUAGUGUUGGUUACCUUAGCAGCUUAGCUUGAAUGGUCUGUACUGCAUUGGAUUGUUGCUUCCAUUCAACAUCUAUUUAUAUAUACCUUGUAAAGAACAGUAUCUGAUACUUUGUGUCUAUGUAGGGCCUCUAUAGAAUAUCUUAUCAUUACAAACUUUUAGCUAGCAGCAUAUA
rnacentral:sRNA from 1 species